GACGAACGCUGGCGGCGUGCUUAACACAUGCAAGUCGAGCGGUAAGGCCCUUUCGGGGGUACACGAGCGGCGAACGGGUGAGUAACACGUGGGUGACCUGCCCUUAGCUCUGGGAUAAGCCUGGGAAACUGGGUCUAAUACCGGAUAUGACCUCAUGACUCAUGUUGUGGGGUGGAAAGCCUUGUGCGGCUAGGGAUGGGCCCGCGGUCUAUCAGCUUGUUGGUGGGGUAAUUGCCUACCAAGGCGACGACGGGUAGCCGGCCUGAGAGGGCGACCGGCCACACUGGGACUGAGACACGGCCCAGACUCCUACGGGAGGCAGCAGUGGGGAAUCUUGCGCAAUGGGCGAAGGCCUGACGCAGCGACGCCGCGUGA
rnacentral:rRNA from 1 species